rnacentral:rRNA from 1 species
UCCGGUGGUUAUGGCGGAGGGGGAACACCUGUUCCCAUACCGAACACAGCAGUUAAGCCCUCCAGCGCCGAUGGUACUGCGUGGGUGACCGCGUGGGAGAGUAGGUCGCCGCCGGAA